CGGCAAUUAGUUCAGAAGAGUAGAAUGCUUCCCUUACAAGGAAGAGGUCACUGGUUCAAGUCCAGUAUUGCCGACCA
rnacentral:tRNA from 1 species